rnacentral:rRNA from 1 species
GGUUAAGUGACUAAGCGUACACGGUGGAUGCCUAGGCAGUCAGAGGCGAUGAAGGGCGUGCUAAUCUGCGAAAAGCGUCGGUAAGGUGAUAUGAACCGUUAUAACCGGCGAUACCCGAAUGGGGAAACCCAGUGUGUUUCGACACACUAUCAUGUCAUGAAUACAUAGUGGCAUGAGGCGAACCGGGGGAACUGAAACAUCUAAGUACCCCGAGGAAAAGAAAUCAACCGAGAUUCCCCCAGUAGCGGCGAGCGAACGGGGAGGAGCCCAGAACCUGAAUCGGCUUGUGUGUUAGUGGAAGCGUCUGGAAAGUCGCGCAGCAAAGGGUGAUAGCCCCGUACACUAAAAUGCACAGGUCGUGAGUUCGAUGAGUAGGGCGGGACACGUGACAUCCUGUCUGAAUAUGGGGGGACCAUCCUCCAAGGCUAAAUACUCCUGACUGACCGAUAGUGAACCAGUACCGUGAGGGAAAGGCGAAAAGAACCCCGGCGAGGGGAGUGAAAUAGAACCUGAAACCGUGUACGUACAAGCAGUGGGAGCACCUUCGUGGUGUGACUGCGUACCUUUUGUAUAAUGGGUCAGCGACUUAUAUUUUGUAGCAAGGUUAACCGUAUAGGGGAGCCGUAGGGAAACCGAGUCUUAACUGGGCGAUUAGUUGCAAGGUAUAGACCCGAAACCCGGUGAUCUAGCCAUGGGCAGGUUGAAGGUUGGGUAACACUAACUGGAGGACCGAACCGACUAAUGUUGAAAAAUUAGCGGAUGACUUGUGGCUGGGGGUGAAAGGCCAAUCAAACCGGGAGAUAGCUGGUUCUCCCCGAAAGCUAUUUAGGUAGCGCCUCGUGAACUCAUCUUCGGGGGUAGAGCACUGUUUCGGCUAGGGGGCCAUCCCGGCUUACCAAACCGAUGCAAACUCCGAAUACCGAAGAAUGUUAUCACGGGAGACACACGGCGGGUGCUAACGUCCGUCGUGAAGAGGGAAACAACCCAGACCGCCAGCUAAGGUCCCAAAGUCAUGGUUAAGU